GAGAGAGGCUUUGAGGCACCAAAAACUGCUAAUUUUUGUACCCGUGGCUAAACUCCACGGCUCACUCG
rnacentral:tRNA from 1 species